UUUCGGCUUUUCAUGAGCCAUGCAUGGAUCCUCCCCUCCCUCUUUGAAAGGAAAUGACCUUAAUUCAUCAAGGCCAUCCUCAACAAGAUACGGUGAAAGGUCUCCCACAUUAAAGGUAGCAUGCACUCCAUGGUCUCGUCCCAGAUCAACCUUAUAAGUAUUAUCAUUGACAUGUGUCACCACUUUGUAAGGACCUUCAGCUCUUGGCAUCAACUUUUGUUCUUCCUUUUGUUAGCAAAACGUUCUUUCCUCAUAUGCGCCUAAACCACGUCACCAUCUUGUAAGACACGUGGUUUCCUAUGCAUGUUGGAAUUAUGUUUGUACACGUCAUACACAGCUUCAAUCUUCACACAAACUUGUUGGUGUAGUUACAUCAUGGCCUUCAAAUUGUCAUUUGCAUCCUUGUGAACCAAUUCACCAUUUGGAAAUGGAAUGAAAUACAAAGGCUUGUAAGGAUUCACACCAUACACCACUUACGUAGGCUUAUAAGGACCUUCAGCUUUUGGCAUCAACUUUUGUUUGGAAAACGUUCUUUCCUCAUAUGCACCAACACCAAAUCACCAUCUUGAAAGACACGAGGUUUCCUAUACAUGUUGGAAUUCUGUUUGUACACGUCAAUCACGGCUUCAAUCUUCACACUAGCUUGUUGGUGUAGUUUCGUCAUGGCCUUCAACUUGUCAUUAGCAUCCUUGUGAACCAAUUCAUCGUUUGGAAAUGGAAUAAUAUACAAAGGCUCGUAAGGAUUCACACCAUACACCACUUACAAAGGCUUGUAAGGACCUUCAGCUCUUGGCAUCAACUCUUGUUCAAAGUGAACAAAGGUUAGUUUGAUUAAAAUUUCAUCUAUCUCUUUUUUCCAUGCAUAAUUGGCUUAUAUGAAGCCUUUAUAACAAAGUUGGUGGUUACUAGCCACCCAACCAACUACUCAGUAAAACUAAUAAUGGAAAUUAAAGAAACUCAUGAAACCACACAAAAAAACGUCUGACACACUGAUGAAUGAAAAAAGUGUCCAUGCUCCAUUAAGGAGCAAAAAGAAGCAUUAAAGUGUAAUCCAAAUCCACCAAAGAGUAUCAACAAUGGCUAGAAGGCUUGACGAAGCAAAAAGUAACAGUUUUGAGCACUUAUUAAGCCUUUAAAAUGUUGCCCUAGCCUUCAUGCGACCCUAAUUUAAUACGUAGGUUACCAUGCACAACCCAACCAUUGAGUACAAACCACCUUCUGGCCUACUAGUAAUCACUAAUCCAUCACAUUUUUCGGCUUUUCAUGAGCCAUGCAUGGAUCCUCCCCUCCCUCUUUGAAAGGAAAUGACCUUAAUUCAUCAAGGCCAUCCUNGUACUAAAAAGUAACUUAGUACCAACUUUCCUCCACAAAGUGUUCCAAAUGUAACUCAAAAACAAGGAAUCCCUAUCAGAAACAAUAGUUUUACGAAUAAUAUGCAAGCGGACCACUUCUUUAAAGUACAAAUCAGAAAGAUUAGAUGAAUCAUUGGUUUUAUGACAUGGCAAAAAGUGAGCCAUUUUUGAAAACCUAUCCACCACCAAUAUAAUGGAUUCCUUCCUCCUUUGAGUUCUAGGCAAAGCCAUACUGAAUUCCAUCGACACAUCUUGCCAAGGACGAAUACGAACCGUCAAAGGAGUGUAAACACCAUGCUUGAAAGUUUUUUCGUCAUCCGACAUGUAACACACUUCCCCACUAUGUUGGUUACAUCCCUAACAUCUUUAGGCCAGAAGAAAUGUUCUUAAAGCACCUUCAAAGUUUUGGUAAUGGAAAAAUGACCCGCCAAACCACCACCAUGAGCUUCACGAAUCAGCAACUCCCGUANUAUUGAAUGUUUAGGGACACAAAGAUGAUUGCCUUUUGAUACCUUUAUGGGCUUGAUUAAGCGAGUAGGGUUUUGUUUAGGUAAAUUAAGCUAGAAUAACAACCACAAAUGGUAGGUGUAUAGGAAAAAAUGGAUAGAUUAGUAAAAAAUCAAGACCUACUAAGUUGUAUACUCGUGAAAACUAUCCAAGAAAUAAUAUUUGUUUGAAUGCGUAUCAAUUCAAGAACACAUCUCGACUAUGACAAGUAGUGAACUAUAACUAUAGUUCAAAGUGAACAAAGGUUAUUUUGAUUAAAAUUUCAUCUAUCUCUUUUUUCCAUGCAUAAUUGGCUUAUAUGAAGCCUUUAUAACAAAGUUGGUGGUUACUUGCCACCCAACCAACUACUCAAUAAAACUAAUAAUGGAAAUUAAAGAAACUCAUGAAACCACACAAAAAAACGUCUGACACACUAAUGAAUGAAAAAAGCAUCCACGCUCCACUAAGGAGCAAAAAGAAGCAUUAAAGUGUAACCCAAAUCCACCAAAGAGUGUCAACAAUGGCUAGAAGGCUUGAUGAAGCAAAAAGUAACAUUUUGAGAACUUAUUAAGCCUUUACAAUGUUGCCCUAGCCUUCAUGCGACCCCAAUUCUAUACGUAGGUUACCAUGCACAACCGAACCAUUGAGUACAAACCACCCUCUAGCCUACUAGCAAUCACUAACCCAUCAACUUUUUCGGCUUUCCAUGAGCCAUGCAUGGAUCCUCCCCUCCCUCUUUGAAAGGAAAUGACCUUAAUUCAUAAAGGCCAUCCUCAACAAGAUACGGUGAAAGGUCUCCCACAUUAAAGGUAGCAUGCACUCCAUGCUCUCGUCCCAAAUCAACCUUAUAAGUAUUAUCAUUGACAUGUGUCACCACAUUGUAAGGACCUCAGGGCUUGGCAUCAACUUUUGUUCUUCCCUUUGUUAGCAAAACGUUCUUUCCUCAUAUGCACCUAAACCAAGUCACCAUCUUGUAAGACACGUGGUUUCCUAUGCAUGUUGGAAUUUUGUUUGUACACGUCAUUCACAGCUUCAAUCUUCACACAAACUUGUGGGUGUAGUUACAUCAUGGCCUUCAAAUUGUCAUUUGCAUCCUUGUGAACCAAUUCAUCAUUUGGAAAUGGAAUCAAACACAAAGGCUUGUAAGGAUUCACACCAUACACCACUUACGAAGGCUUACGGACCUUCAGCUUUUGGCGUCAACUUUUGUUCUUCCUUUUGUUUGGAAAACGUUCUUUCCUCAUAUGCACCUAAACCAAGUCACCGUCUUGAAAGACACGAGGUUUCCUAUACAUGUUGGAAUUCUAUUUGUACACGUCAUUCACGGCUUCAAUCUUCACACGAGCUUGUUUGUGUAGUUUCGUCAUGGCCUUCAACUUGUCCUUAGCAUCCUUGUGAACCAAUUAAUCUUUUGGAAAUGGAAUAAUAUACAAAGGCUUGUAAGGAUUCACACCAUACACCCCUUACAAAGGCUUGUAAGGACCUUCAGCUCUUGGCAUCAACUUUUGUUCUUGCUUUUGUUAGGAAAACAUUCUUUCCUCAUAUGCACCUAAACCAAGUCACCAGCUUGAAAGACAUGUGGUGUCCUAUGCAUGUUGGAAUUCAAUUUGUACACGUCAUUCAUGGCUUCAAUCUUCACAAGAACUUGUUGGUGUAGUUUCAUCUUGGCCUUCAACUUGUCAUUAGCAUCCUUGUGAACCAAUUCAACGUUUAGAAAUGGAAUCAAAUAUAAAGGCUUGUAAGGAUUCACACCAUACAUCACUUAUAAAGGACAGUAACCUGUAGCAUAAGUAGGAGAACGAUUACAGGCAAACUCAGCAUGUGCAAGUUUGAUGUCCAACUGUUUAGUAGUUUUGCUAACCAACCCCCUCAACAACAUACCCAAAGUACAAACUUUGGGUAUGUGGAUGAUGGGACGCACUAAAAAAUAACUUAGUACCAACUUUCCUCCACAAAGUGUUCCAAAUGUAACUCAAAAACAAGGAAUCCCUAUUAAAAACAAUAGUUUUAGGAAUAAUAUGCAAGCGAACCACUUCUUUAAAGUACAAAUUAGACACAUUAGAUGAAUCAUUGGUUUUAUGACAUGGCAUAAAGUGAGCCGUUUUUGAAAACCUAUCCACCACCACUAUAAUGGAUUCCUUCCCCCUAAGAGUUCUAGGCAAAGCCAUACUGAAUUCUAUUGACACAUCUUGCCAAGGAUGAAUAGGAAACGACAAAGGAGUGUAAACACCAUGCUUGAAAGUUUUUUUCGUCAUCCAACAUGUAACACACUUGCCCACUAUGUUGGUUACAUCCCUAACAUCUUUAGGCCAGAAGAAAUGUUCUUAAAGCACCUUCAAAGUUUUGGUAAUGGAAAAAUGACCCGCCAAACCACCACCAUGAGCUUCACGAAUCAACAACUCCCGUAUUGCAUGUUUAGGGACACAAAGGUGAUUGCCUUUUGAUGCCUUUAUGGGCUUGAUUAAGUGAGUGGGGCUGUGUUUAGGUAAAUUAAGCUAGAAUAACAACCACAAUUGAUAGGUGUAUUGGAAGAAAUGGAUCAACUAGUAACAAAUCAAGACCUACUAAGUUGUAUACCCGUGAAAACUAUCCAAGACAUAAUAUUUGUUUGAAUGCGUAUCAAGUCAAGAACACAUCUCGACUAUGACAAGUAGUGAACUAUAACUAUAAUUCAAAGUGAACAAAGGUUCUUUUGAUUAAAGUUUCAUCUAUCUCUUUUUUCCAUGGAUAAUUGGCUUAUAUGAAGCCUUUAUUACAAAGUUGGUGGUUACAAACCACCCAACCAACUACUUAGUAAAACUAAUAAUGGAAAUUAAAGAAACUCAUGAAACCACACAAAAAAACGUCUGACACACUAAUGAAUGAUAAAAGCGUCCAUGCUCCAUUAAGGAGCAAAAAGAAGCAUUAAAAUGUAACCCAAAUCCACCGAAGAGUAUCAGUGAUGGCUAAAAGGCUUGAUGAAGCCAAAAGUAACGGUUUUGAGUACUUAUUAAGCCUUUAAAAUGUUGCCCUAUCCUUCAUGCGACCCUAAUUCAAUACGUAGGUUACCAUGCACAACCCAACCAUUGAGUACAAACCACCUUCUAGCCUACUAGUAAUCACCUUUUUCGGCUUUUCAUGAGCCAUGCAUGGAUCCUCCCCUCCCUCUUUGAAAGGAAAUGACCUUAAUUCAUCAAGGACAUCCUCAACAAGAUAUGGUGAAACGUCUCCUACAUUAAAGGUAGCAUGCACUCCAUGGUCUUGUCCUAGAUCAACCUUAUAAGUAUUAUCAUUGACAUGUGUCACCACUUUGUAAGGACCUUCAGCUGAUGGCAUCAACUUUUGUUCUUCCUUUUGUUAGCAAUACGUUCUUUCCUCAUAUGCACCUAAACCAAGUCACCAUCUUGUAAGACACGUGGUUUCCUAUGCAUGUUGGAAUUCUAUUUGUACACGCCAUUCACAGCUUCAAUCUUCACACAAACUUGUUGGUGUAGUUACAUCAUGGCCUUCAAAUUGUCAUUUGCAUCGUUGUGAACCAAUACAUCAUUUGGAAAUGGAAUCAAAUACAAAGGCUUGUAUGGAUUCACUCCAUACACCACUUACGAAGGCUUAUAAGGACCUUCAACUUUUGGCAUCAACUUUUGUUCUUCCUUUUGUUUGGAAAACGUUCUUUCCUCAUAUGCACCUAAACCAAGUCACCAUCUUGAAAGACACGAGGUUUCCUAUACAUGUUGGAAUUUUAUUUAUACACGUCAUUCACGGCUUCAAUCUUCACACGAGCUUGUUGGUGUAGUUUCUUCCGGGCCUUCAACUUGUCAUUCGCAUCCUUGUGAGCCAAUUCAUCAUUUGGAAAUUGAAUAAUAUACAAAGGCUUGUAAGGAUUCACACCAUAGACCACUUACAAAGGCUUGUAAGGACCUUCAGCUCUUGGCAUCAACUUUUGUUCUUCCUUUUGUUACGAAAACGUUCUUUCCUCAUAUGCACCUAAACCAAGUCACCAUCUUGAAAGACAUGUGGUUUCCUAUGCAUGGUUGAAUUCUAUUUGUACACGUCAUUCAUGGCUUCAAUCUUCACAAGAACUUGUUGGUGUAGUUUCAUCAUGGCCUUCAACUUGUCAUUAGUAUCCCUGUGAACCAAUUCAUCGUUUGAAAAUGGAAUCAAAUAUAAAGACUUGUAAGGAUUCACACUAUACCCCACUUAUAAAGGGAGUGACCUGUAGCAUAAAUAGGAGAACGAUUACAGGCAAACUCAGCCUGUGCAAGUUUGAUGUCCAACUGUUUUUGAGUUUUGCUAACCAACCCCCUCAAUAAACGUACCCAAAGUUCUAUUAGUCACCUUCGUUUGCCCAUCAGUUUGUGGAUGAUGGGACGUACUAAAAAGUAACUUUGUACCAACUUUCCUCCACAAUGUGUUCCAAAUGUAACUCAAAAACAAGGAAUCCCUAUCAGAAACAAUAGUUUUACGAAUAAUAUGCAAGCGAACCACUUCUUUAAAGUACAAAUCAGAGACAUUAGAUGAAUCAUUGGUUUUAUGACAUGGCAUAAAGUGAGCCAUUUUUGAAAACCUAUCCACCACCACUAUAAUGGAUUCCUUCCCCCUUUGAGUUCUAGCAAAAUCCAUACUAAAUUCCAUUGACACCUCUUGCCAAGGACGAAUAGGAACCGACAAAGGAGUGUAAACACCAUGCUUGAAAGUUUUUUUCGUCAUCCGACAUGUAACAAAGUUGCCCACUAUGUUGGUUACAUCCCUAACAUAUUUAGGCCAGAAGAAAUGUUCUUAAAGCACCUUCAAAGUUUUGGUAAUGGAAAAAACCACCACCAUGAGCUUCACGAAUCAGCAACUCCUGUAUUGCAUGUUUAGGGACACAAAGGUCAUUGCCUUUUGAUGCCUUUAUGGGCUUGAUUAAGUGAGUGGGGCUGUGUUUAGGUAAAUUAAGCUACAAUAACAACCACAAUUGAUAGGUGUAUAGGAAGAAAUGGAUAGAUUAGUAACAAAUCAAGACCUACUAAGUUGUAUACCCGUGAAAACUAUCCAAGACAUAAUAUUUGUUUGAAUGCGUAUCAAGUCAAGAACACAUCUCGACUAUGACAAGUAGUGAACUAUAACUAUAAUUCAAAGUGAACAAAGGUUCUUUUGAUUAAAGUUUCAUCUAUCUCUUUUUUCAAUGGAUAAUUGGCUUAUAUGAAGCCUUUAUUACAAAGUUGGUGGUUACAAGCCACCCAACCAACUACUCAGUAAAACUAAUAAUGGAAAUUAAAGAAACUCAUGAAACCACACAAAAAAACGUCUGACACACUAAUGAAUGAUAAAAGCAUCCAUGCUCCAUUAAGGAGCAAAAAGAAGCAUUAAAAUGUAACCCAAAUCCACCGAAGAGUAUCUACAAUGGCUAAAAGGCUUGAUGAAGCCAAAAGUAACGGUUUUGAGAACUUAUUAAGCCUUUAAAAUGUUGCCCUAUCCUUCAUGCGACCCUAAUUCAAUACGUAGGUUACCAUGCACAACCCAACCAUUGAGUACAAACCACCUUCUAGCCUACUAGUAAUCACUAACCCAUCACUUUUUUCGGUUUUUCAUGAUCCAUGCAUGGAUCCUCCCCUCCCUCUUUGAAAGGAAAUGACCUUAAUUCAACAAGGCCAUCCUCAACAACAUACUGUGAAAGGUCUCCCACAUUAAAGGUAGCAUGCACUCCAUGCUUUCGUCCCACAUCAACCUUAUAAGUAUUGUCAUCGACAUGUGUCACCACUUUUUAAGGACCUUCAGCGCUUGGCAUCAACUUUUGUUCUUCCCUUUGUUAGCAAAACGUUCUUUCCUCAUAUGCACCUAAACCAAGUCACCAUCUUGUAAGACACAUGGUUUCCUAUGCAUGUUGAAAUUUUGUUUGUACACGUCAUUCACAGCUUCAAUCUUCACACAAACUUGUUGGUGUAGUUACAUCAUGGCCUUCAAAUUGUCAUUUGCAUCCUUGUGAAAAAAUUCAUCAUUUGGAAAUGGAAUCAAAUACAAAGGCUUGUAAGGAUUCACACCAUACACCACUUACGAAGGCUUAAGGACCUUCAACAUUUGGCAUCAACUUUAGUGAUUCCUUUUGUUUGGAAAACGUUCUUUCCUCAUAUGCACCUAAACCAAGUCACCAUCUUGAAAGACACGAGGUUUCCUAUACAUGUUGGAAUUCUGAUUGUACACGUCAUUCACGGCUUCAAUCUUCACACGAGCUUGUUGGUGUAGUUUCGUCAUGGCCUUCAACUUGUCAUUAGCAUCCUUGUGAACCAAUUCAUCAUUUGGAAAUGGAAUAAUAUACAAAGGCUUGUAAGGAUUAACACCAUACACCACUUACAAAGGCUUGUAAGGACCUUCAGCUCUUUGCAUCAACUUUUGUUCUUCCUUUUGUUAGGAAAACGUUCUUUCCUCAUAUGCACCUAAACCAAGUCACCAGCUUGAAAGACAUGUGGUUUCCUACGCAUGUUGGAAUUCUGUUUGUACACAUCAUUCAUGGCUUGAAUCUUCACAAGAACUUGUUGGUGUAGUUUCAUCAUGGCCUUCAACUUGUCAUUAGCAUCCUUGUGAACCAAUUCAACGUUUGGAAAUGGAAUCAAAUAUAAAGGCUGGUAAGGAUUCACACAAUACAUCACUUAUAAAGGACAGUGACCUGUAGGAUAAGUAGGAGAACGAUUACAGGCAAACUCAGCAUGUGCAAGUUUGAUGUCCAACUAUUUUUGAGUUUUGCUAACCAACCCCCUCAACAACGUACCCAAAGUUCUAUUAGUCACCUUCGUUUGCCCAUCAGUUUGUGGUUGAUGGGACGUACUAAAAAGUAACUUAGUACCAACUUUCCUCCACAAAGUGUUCCAAAUGUAACUCAAAAACAAGGAAUCCCUAUCAGAAACAAUAGUUUUACGAAUAAUAUGCAAGCGGACCACUUCUUUAAAGUACAAAUCAGAAAGAUUAGAUGAAUCAUUGGUUUUAUGACAUGGCAAAAAGUGAGCCAUUUUUGAAAACCUAUCCACCACCAAUAUAAUGGAUUCCUUCCUCCUUUGAGUUCUAGGCAAAGCCAUACUGAAUUCCAUCGACACAUNGAAACGACAAAGGAGUGUAAACACCAUGCUUGAAGGUUUUUUCGUCAUCCGACAUGUAACACACUUGCCCACUAUGUUGGUUACAUCCCUAACAUCUUUAGGCCAGAAGAAAUGUUCUUAAAGCACCUUCAAAGUUUUGGUAAUGGAAAAAUGACCCGCCAAACCACCACCAUGAGCUUCACGAAUCAGCAACUCCCGUAUUGCAUGUUUAGGGACACAAAGGUCAUUGCCUUUUGAUGCCUUUAUGGGCUUGAUUAAGAGAGUGGGGUUGUGUUUAGGUAAAUUAAGCUAGAAUAACAACCACAAAUGAUAGGUGUAUGGGAAGAAAUGGAUACAUUAGUAACAAAUCAAGACCUACUAAGUUGUAUACUCGUGAAAACUGUCCAAGACAUAAUAUUUGUUUGAAUGCGUAUCAAGUCAAGAACACGUCUCAACUAUAACAAGUAGUGAAAUAUAACUAUAAUUAAAAGUGAACAAAGGUUCUUUUGAUUAAAAUUUCAUCUAUCUCUUUUUCCAUGCAUAAUUGGCUUAUAUGAAGCCUUUAUAUCAAAGUUGGUGGUUACAAACCAACCACCCAACUACUCAGUAAAACUAAUAAUGGAAAUUAAAGAAACUCAUGAAACCACACAAAAAAAAACGUCUGACACACUAAUUAAUGAAAAAACGUCCAUGCUCCAUUAAGUAGCAAAAAGAAGCAUUAAAGUGUAACCCAAAUCCACCAAAGAGUAUCAACAAUGGCUAGAAGGUUUGAUGAACCAAAAAGUAACGGUUUUGAGCACUUAAUAAGCCUUUAAAAUAUUGCCCUGACCUUCACGCGACCCUAAUUCAAUACGUAGGUUGCCAUGCACAACCCAACCAUUAAGUACAAACCACCUUCUAGCCUACUAGUAAUGACUAAUCCAUCACCUUUUUCGGCUUUUCAUGACCCUUGCAUGGAUCCUCCCCUCCCUCUUUGGAAGGAAAUGACCUUAAUUCAUCAAGGCCAUCCUCAACAAGAUACGGUGAAAGCUCUCCCACAUUAAAGGUAGCAUGCACUCCAUGGUCUCCUCCCAGAUCCACCUUAUAAGCAUUAUCAUUGACAUGUGUCAUCACUUUGUAAGGACCUUCAGCUCUUGGCAUCAACUUUUGUUCUUCCUUUUGUUAGGAAAACGUUCUUUCCUCAUAUGCUCCUAAACCAAGUCACCAUCUUGUAAGACACGUGGUUUCCUAUGCAUAUUGGAAUUCUGUUUGUACAUGUCAUUCACAGCUUCCUUCUUCACACAAACUUGUUGGUGUAGUUACAUCAUGGCCUUCAAAUUGUCAUUUGCAUCCUUGUGAACUAAUUCAUCAUUUGGAAAUGGAAUCAAAUACAAAGGCUUGUAAGGAUUCACACCAUACACCACUUACGAAGGCUUAUAAGGACCUUCAGCUCUUGGCAUCAACUUUUGUUCUUCCUUUUGUUUGGUCAACGUUCUUUCCUUAUAUGCACCUAAAUUAAGUCACCAUCUUGAAAGACACGUGCUUUCCUAUACAUGUUGGAAUUGUACUCGUCAUUCACGGCUUCAGUCUUCUCACGAGCUUGUUGGUGUAGUUUCACCAUGGCCUUCAACUUGUCAUUAGCAUACUUGUGAACCAAUUCAUCGUUUGGAAAUGGAAUCAAAUACAAACGCUUUUAAGGAUUCACACGAUACACCACUUACAAAAGCUUGUAAGGACAGCUCUCGACAUCAACUUUUGUUCUUCCUUUUGUUAGGAAAACAUUAUUUCCUCAUAUACACCUAAACUAUGUCACCAGCUUGAAAGACAUGUGGUUUCCUAUGCAUGUUGGAAUUUUGUUUAUACACGUCAUUCAUGUCUUCAAUCUUCAAAAGAACUUGUAUGUGUAGUUUCAUCAUGGCCUUCAACUUGUCAUUAGCAUCCUUGUGAACCAAUUCAUCGUUUGGAAAUGGAAUCAAAUAUAAAGGCUUGUAAGGAUUCACACCAUACAUCAGUUAUAAAGGACAGUGACCUGUAGCAUAAGUAGGAAAACGAUUACAGGGAAACACAGCAUGUGCAAGUUUGAUGUCCAACUAUUUUUGAGUUUUGCUAACCAACCCCCUCAACAACAUACCCAAAGUUCUAUUAGUCAUCUUCGUUUGCCCGUCAGUUUGUGGAUGAUGGGACGUACUAAAAAAUAACUUAGUACCAACUUUCCUCCACAAAGUGUUCCAAAUGUAAGUCAAAAACAAGGAAUCCCUAUCAGAAACAAUAGUUUUAGGAAUAAUAUACAAGCGAACCACUUCUUUAAAGUACAAAUCAAACACAUUAGAUGAAUGGGUUUUAUGACAUGGCAUAAAGUGAGCCAUUUUUGAAAACCUAUCCACCACCACUAUAAUGGAUCCAUUCCUCCUUUGAGUUCUAGGCAAAGCCAUACUGAAUUCCAUCGACACAUCUUGCCAAGGACGAAUACGAACCGUCAAAGGAGUGUAAACACCAUGCUUGAAAGUUUUUUUCGUCAUCCGACAUGUAACACACUUUCCCACUAUGUUGGUUACAUCCCUAACAUCUUUAGGAUAGAAGAAAUGUUCUUAAAGCACCUUCAAAGUUUUGGUAAUGGAAAAAUGACCCGCCAAACCACCACCAUGAGCUUCACGAAUCAGCAACUCCCGUAUUGCAUGUUUAGGGACACAAAGGUCAUUGCCUUUUGAUGCCUUUAUGGGCUUGAUUAAGAGAGUGGGGUUGUGUUUAGGGAAAUUAAGCUAGAAUAACAACCACAAAUGAUAGGUGUAUGGGAAGAAAUGGAUAGAUUAGUANCAAGACCUACUAAGUUGUAUACCCGUGAAAACUAUCCAAGACAUAAUAUUUGUUUGAAUGCAUAUCAAGUCAAGAACAGGUCUCGACUAUGACAAGUAGUGAACUAUAACUAUAAUUCAAAGUGAACAAAGGUUCUUUUGAUUAAAAUUUCAUCUAUCUCUUUUUUCCAUGCAUAAUUGGCUUAUAUGAAGCCUUUAUUACAAAGUUGUUGGUUACAAACCACCCAACCAACUACUCAGUAAAACUAAUAAUGGAAAUUAAAGAAACUCAUGAAACCACACAAAAAAAACGUCUGACACACUAAUGAAUGAAAAAAGUGUCCAUGCUCCAUUAAGUAGCAAAAAGAAGCAAUAAAGUGUAACCCAAAUCCACCAAAGAGUAUCAACAAUGACUAGAAGGCUUGAUGAAGCAAAAAGUAACGAUUUUGAGCACUUAUUAAGCCUUUAAAAUGUUGCCCUAGCCUUCAUGCGACCCUAAUUCAAUACGUAGAUUACCAUACACAACCCAACCGUUGAGUAUAAACCUCCUUCUAGCCUACUAUUAAUCAAUCACUAAUCCAUCACCUUUUUCGGCUUUUAAUGAGCCAUGCAUGGAUCCUCCCCUCCCUCUUUGAAAGUAAAUGACCUUAAUUCAAAAAGGCCAUCCUCAACUAGAUACGGUGAAAGCUCUCCCACAUUAAAGGUAGCAUGCACUCCAUGGUCUCCUCCCAGAUCCACCUUAUAAGCAUUAUCAUUGACAUGUGUCACCACUUUGUAAGGACCUUCAGCUCUUGGCAUCAACUUUUGUUCUUCCUUUUGUUAGGAAAAUAUUCUUUCCUCAUAUGCACCUAAACCAAGUCACCAUCUUGUAAGACACGUGGUUUCAUAUGCAUGUUGGAAUUCUGUUUGUACAUGUCAUUCACAGCUUCCAUCUUCACACAAACUUGUUGGUGUAGUUACAUCAUGGCCUUCAAAUAGUCAUUUGCAUCCUUGUGAACCAAUUCAUCAUUUGGAAAUGGAAUCAAAUACAAAGGCUUGUAAGGAUUCACACCAUACACCACUUACAAAAGCUUGUAAGCACAGCUCUCGGCAUCAACUUUUGUUCAUCCUUUUGUUAGGAAAACAUUAUUUCCUCAUAUACACCUAAACCAUGUCACCAUCUUGAAAGACACGUGGUUUCCUAUGCAAGUUGGAAUUCUAUUUGUACACGUCAUUCACGGCUUCAAUCUUCAGACGAACUUGUUGGUGUAGUUUCAACAUGGCCUUCAACUUGUCAUUAGCAUCCUUGUGAACCAAUUCAUCGUUUGGAAAUGGAAUCAAAUACAAUGGAUUGUAAGGAUUCACACCAUACACCACUUAUAAAGGAGUGACCUAUAGCAUAAGUAGGAGAAUGAUUACUCGUAAACUCAGCAUGUGUAAGUUUGAUGUCCAACUGUUUUUGAGUUUUGCUAACCAACCCCCUCAACAACGUACCCAAAGUUCUAUUAGUCACCUUCGUUUGCCCAUCAGUUUGUGGUUGAUGGGACGUACUAAAAAGUAACUUAGUACCAACUUUCCUCCACAAAGUGUUCCAAAUUUAACUCAAAAACAAGGUUUCCCUAUCAGAAACAAUAGUUUUAGGAAUAAUAUGCAAGCGAACCACUUCUUUAAAGUACAAAUCAGACACAUUAGAUAAAUCAUUGGUUUUAUGACAUGGCAUAAAGUGAGCCAUUUUUAAAAACCUAUCCACCACCACUAUAAUGGAUUCCUUCCCCCCUUUGAGUUCUAGGCAAAGCCAUACUAAAUACCAUUGACACAUCUUGCCUAGGACGAAUAGGAACCGACAAAGGAGUGUAAACACCAUGCUUGAAAGUUUUUUUCAUCAUCUGACAUGUAACACACUUUCCCGUUAUGUUGGUUACAUCCCUAACAUCUUUAGGCCAGAAGAAAUGUUCUUAAAGCACCUUCAAAGUUUUGGUAAUGGAAAAAUGACCCGCCAAACCACCACCAUGAGCUUCACGAAUCAGCAACUCCCGUAUUGCAUGUUUAGGGACACAAAUGUGAUUGCCUUUUGAUGCCUUUAUGGGCUUGAUUAAGUGAGUAGGGCCGUGUUUAGGUAAAUUAAGCUACAAUAACAACCACAAAUGAUAGGUGUAUGGGAAGAAAUGGAUCGAUUAGUAACAAAUCAAGACCUACUAUGUUGUAUACUUGUGAAAACUAUCCAAGACAUAAUAUUUCUCUGAAUGCGUAUCAAGUCAAGAACAUGUCUCGACUAUGACAAAUAAUGAACUAUAACUAUAAUUCAAACUGAACAAAGGUUCUUUUGAUUAAAAUUUCGUCUAUCUCUUUUUUCCAUGCAUAAUUUGGCUUAUAUGAAGCCUUUAUUACAAAGUUGGUGGUUACAAGCCACCCAACCAACUACUCAGUUAAACUAAUAAUGAAAAUUAAAGAAACUCAUGAAACCACACAAAAAAACGUCUGACACACUGAUGAAUGAAAAAAGUGUCCAUGCUCCAUUAAGGAGCAAAAAGAAGCAUUAAAGUGUAAUCCAAAUCCACCAAAGAGUAUCAACAAUGGCUAGAAGGCUUGACGAAGCAAAAAGUAACAGUUUUGAGCACUUAUUAAGCCUUUAAAAUGUUGCCCUAGCCUUCAUGCGACCCUAAUUUAAUACGUAGGUUACCAUGCACAACCCAACCAUUGAGUACAAACCACCUUCUGGCCUACUAGUAAUCACUAAUCCAUCACAUUUUUCGGCUUUUCAUGAGCCAUGCAUGGAUCCUCCCCUCCCUCUUUGAAAGGAAAUGACCUUAAUUCAUCAAGGCCAUCCUCAACAAGAUACGGUGAAAGGUCUCCCACAUUAAAGGUAGCAUGCACUCCAUGCUCUCGUCCCAGAUGAACCUUAUAAGUAUUACCAUUGACAUGUGUCACCACUUUGUAAGGACCUUCAGCUCUUGGCAUCAACUUUUGUUCUUCCCUUUGUUAGCAAAACGUUCUUUUCUUAUAUGCACCUAAACCAAGUCACCAUCUUGUAAGACACAUGGUUUCCUAUGCAUGUUGGAAUUUUGUUUGUACACGUCAUUCACAGCUUCAAUCUUCACACAAACUUGUUGGUGUAGUUACAUCAUGGCCUUCAAAUUGUCAUUUGCAUCCUUGAAAACCAAUUCAUCAUUUGGAAAUGGAAUGAAAUACAAAGGUUUGUAAGGAUUCACACCAUACACCACUUACGAAGGCUUAUAAGGACCUUCAACUCUUGGCAUCAACUUUUGUUCUUCCUUUUGUUUAGAAAACAUUGUUUCCUCAUAUGCACCUAAACCAAGUCCCCAUCUUGAAAGACACGUGGUUUCCUAUACAUGUUGGAAUUUUGUUUGUACACGUCAUUCAUGGCUUCAAUCUUCACACGAGCUUGUUCGUAUAGUUUCGUCAUGGCCUUCUACUUAUCAUUAGAAUCCUUGUGAACCAAUUCAUUGUUUGGAAAUGGAAUCAAAUAUAAAGGCAUGUAAGGAUUCACACCAUACACUACUUAUAAAGGAGAGUGACCUGUAGCAUAAGUAGGAGAACGAUUACAGGCAAACUCAGCAUGUGCAAGUUUAAUGUCCAACUGUGUUUAAGUUUUGCUAACCAACCCCGUCAACUACGUACCCAAAGUUCUAUUAGUCACCUUUGUUUGCCCAUGAGUUUGUGGAUGAUGGGACGUACUAAAAAGUAACUUAGUACCAAUUUCCCUCCGCAAAGUGUUCCAAAUGUAACUCAAAAAUAAGGAAUCCCUAUCAAAAACAAUAGUUUUAGAAUAAUAUGCAAGCAAACCACUUCAUUAAAGUACAAAUCAGACCCAAUAGAUGAAUCAUUGGUUUCAUGACAUGGCAUAAAGAGAGCCAUUUUUGAAAACCUAUCCACUACCACUAUAAUGGAUUCCUNNNNNNNNNNNNNNNNNNNNNNNNNNNNNNNNNNNNNNNNNNNNNNNNNNNNNNNNNNNNNNNNNNNNNNNNNNNNNNNNNNNNNNNNNNNNNNNNNNNNCGCCCCGGAACGUUUCCGCCAUCGGUUUCGGGGUGUGACACAUAUGCAUGUUGGAAUUCUAUUUGUACACGUCAUUCACAACUUCAAUCUUCACAAGAACUUGUUGGUGUAGUUUCAUCAUGGCCUUCAACUUGUCAUUAGCAUCCUUGUGAACCAAUUCAUCGUUUGGAAAUGGAAUCAAAUAUAAAGGCUUGUAAGGAUUCAGACCAUACACCACUUAUAAAGGAGAGUGACCUGUAGCAAAAGUAGGAGAACAAUUACAAGCAAACUCAACAUGUGCAAGUUUGAUGUCCAACUGUUUUUUAGUUUUGCUAACCAACCCCCUCAAUAACGUACGCAAAGUUCUAUUAGUCACCUUCAUUUGCCCAUCAGUUUAUGGAUGAUGGGACGUACUAAAAAGUAACUUAGUACCAACUUUCCUCCACAAAGUGUUCCAAAUGUAACUCAAAAAUAAGGAAUCCCUAUCAGAAACAAUAGUUUUAGUAAUAAUAUGCAAGCGAGCCACUUCUUUAAAGUACAAAUCAGACACAUUAGAUGAAUCAUUGGUUUUAUGACAUGGCAUAAAGUGAGCCAUUUUUGAAAACCUAUCCACCACCACAAUAAUGGAUUCCUCCCCCCUUUGAGUUCUAGGCAAAGCCAUACUGAAUUCCAUUGACACAUCUUGCCAAGGAGGAAUAGGAAACGACAAAGGAGUGUAAACACCAUGCUUGAAAGUUUUUUUCGUUAUCCGACAUGUUGCCCACUAUGUUGGUUACAUCGCUAACAUCUUUAGGCCAUAAGAAAUGUUCUUAAAGCACCUUCAAAGUUUUGGUAAUGGAAAAAUGACCCGCCAAACCACCACCAUGAGCUUCACGAAUCAGCAACUCCCGUAUUGCAUGUUUAGGGACACAAAGGUGAUUGCCUUUUGAUGCCUUUAUGGGCUAGAUUAAGUGAGUGGGGCUGUGUUUAGGUAAAUGAAGCUAGAAUAAAAACCACAAAUGACAGGUGUAUGGGAAGAAAUGGAUAAACUAGUAACAAAUCAAGACCUACUAAGUUGUAUACCCGUGAAAACUAUCCAAGACAUAAUAUUUGUUUGAAUGCGUAUCAAGUCAAGAACACGUCUCGACUAUGACAAGUAGUGAAAUAUAACUAUAAUUCAAUGUGAACAAAGGUUCUUUUGAUUAAAAUUUCAUCUAUCUCUUUUUCCAUGCAUAAUUGGCUUAUAUGAAGCCUUUAUUACAAAGUUGUUGGUUACAAACCACCCAACCAACUACUCAGUAAAACUAAUAAUGGAAAUUAAAGAAACUCAUGAAACCACACAAAAAAAAACGUCUGACACACCAAUNGUCCACGCUCCAUUAAGGAGCAAAAAGAAGCAUUAAAGUGUAACCCAAAUCCACCAAAGAGUAUCAACAAUGGCUAGAAGGCUUGAUGAAGCAAAAAGAAACAUUUUUGAGCACUUAUUAAGCCUUUAAAAUGUUGCCCUAGCCUUCAUGCGACCCUAAUUCAAUACGUAGGUUACCAUGCACAACCCAACCAUUGAGUACAAACCACCUUCUAGCCUACUAGUAAUCACUAAUCCAUCACCUUUUUCGGCUUUUCAUGAGCCAUGCAUGGAUCCACCCCUCCCUCUUUGAAAGGAAAUGACCUUAAUUCAUCAAGGCCAUCCUCAACAAGAUACGGUGAAAGGUCUCCCACAUUAAAGGUAGCAUGCACUCCAUGGUCUCGUCCCAGAUCAACCUUAUAAGUAUUAUCAUUGACAUGUGUCACCACUUUGUAAGGACCUUCAGCUCUUGGCAUCAACUUUUGUUCUUCCUUUUGUUAGCAAAACGUUCUUUCCUCAUAUGCGCCUAAACCACGUCACCAUCUUGUAAGACACGUGGUUUCCUAUGCAUGUUGGAAUUCUGUUUGUACACGUCAUACACAGCUUCAAUCUUCACACAAACUUGUUGGUGUAGUUACAUCAUGGCCUUCAAAUUGUCAUUUGCAUCCUUGUGAACCAAUUCACCAUUUGGAAAUGGAAUGAAAUACAAAGGCUUGUAAGGAUUCACACCAUACACCACUUACGUAGGCUUAUAAGGACCUUCAGCUUUUGGCAUCAACUUUUGUUUGGAAAACGUUCUUUCCUCAUAUGCACCAACACCAAAUCACCAUCUUGAAAGACACGAGGUUUCCUAUACAUGUUGGAAUUCUGUUUGUACACGUCAAUCACGGCUUCAAUCUUCACACUAGCUUGUUGGUGUAGUUUCGUCAUGGCCUUCAACUUGUCAUUAGCAUCCUUGUGAACCAAUUCAUCGUUUGGAAAUGGAAUAAUAUACAAAGGCUCGUAAGGAUUCACACCAUACACCACUUACAAAGGCUUGUAAGGACCUUCAGCUCUUGGCAUCAACUCUUGUUCAAAGUGAACAAAGGUUAGUUUGAUUAAAAUUUCAUCUAUCUCUUUUUUCCAUGCAUAAUUGGCUUAUAUGAAGCCUUUAUAACAAAGUUGGUGGUUACUAGCCACCCAACCAACUACUCAGUAAAACUAAUAAUGGAAAUUAAAGAAACUCAUGAAACCACACAAAAAAACGUCUGACACACUGAUGAAUGAAAAAAGUGUCCAUGCUCCAUUAAGGAGCAAAAAGAAGCAUUAAAGUGUAAUCCAAAUCCACCAAAGAGUAUCAACAAUGGCUAGAAGGCUUGACGAAGCAAAAAGUAACAGUUUUGAGCACUUAUUAAGCCUUUAAAAUGUUGCCCUAGCCUUCAUGCGACCCUAAUUUAAUACGUAGGUUACCAUGCACAACCCAACCAUUGAGUACAAACCACCUUCUGGCCUACUAGUAAUCACUAAUCCAUCACAUUUUUCGGCUUUUCAUGAGCCAUGCAUGGAUCCUCCCCUCCCUCUUUGAAAGGAAAUGACCUUAAUUCAUCAAGGCCAUCCUCAACAAGAUACGGUGAAAGGUCUCCCACAUUAAAGGUAGCAUGCACUCCAUGGUCUCGUCCCAGAUCAACCUUAUAAGUAUUAUCAUUGACAUGUGUCACCACUUUGUAAGGACCUUCAGCUCUUGGCAUCAACUUUUGUUCUUCCUUUUGUUAGCAAAACGUUCUUUCCUCAUAUGCGCCUAAACCACGUCACCAUCUUGUAAGACACGUGGUUUCCUAUGCAUGUUGGAAUUCUGUUUGUACACGUCAUACACAGCUUCAAUCUUCACACAAACUUGUUGGUGUAGUUACAUCAUGGCCUUCAAAUUGUCAUUUGCAUCCUUGUGAACCAAUUCACCAUUUGGAAAUGGAAUGAAAUACAAAGGCUUGUAAGGAUUCACACCAUACACCACUUACGUAGGCUUAUAAGGACCUUCAGCUUUUGGCAUCAACUUUUGUUUGGAAAACGUUCUUUCCUCAUAUGCACCAACACCAAAUCACCAUCUUGAAAGACACGAGGUUUCCUAUACAUGUUGGAAUUCUGUUUGUACACGUCAAUCACGGCUUCAAUCUUCACACUAGCUUGUUGGUGUAGUUUCGUCAUGGCCUUCAACUUGUCAUUAGCAUCCUUGUGAACCAAUUCAUCGUUUGGAAAUGGAAUAAUAUACAAAGGCUCGUAAGGAUUCACACCAUACACNAAGGAUUCACACCAUACACCACAUACAAAGGCUUGUAAGCACCUUCAGCUCUUGGCAUUAACUUUAGUUCUUCCUUUUUUAAGUAAACGUUCUUUCCUCAUAUGCACCUAAACCAAGUCACCAUCUUGAAAGACACAUGGUUUCCUAUGCAUGUUGGAAUUCUGUUUGUACACGUCAUUCACGGCUUCAAUCUUCACACGAGCUUGUUGGUGUAGUUUCGUCAUGGCCUUCGACUUGUCAUCAGCAUCCUUGUGAACCAAUUCAUCGUUUGGAAAUGGAAUAAUAUACAAAGGCUUGUAAGGAUUCAUACCAUACACAACUUACAAAGGCUUGUAAGGACCUUCAGCUCUUAGCAUCAACUUUUGUUCUUCCUUUUGUUAGGAAAACGUCCUUUCCUCAUAUGCACCUGAACCAAGUCACCAUCUUGAAAGACACGUGGUUUCCUAUGCAUGUUGGAAUUCUGUUUGUACACGUCAUUCACGGAUUCAAUCUUCACAUGAACUUGUUGGUGUAGUUUCAUCAUGGCCUUCAACAUGUCAUUAGCAUCCUUGAGAACCAAUUCAUUGUUUGAAAAUGGAAUCAAAUAUAAAGGCUUGUAAGGAUUCACACCAUACACCACUUAUAAAGGAGAGUGACCUGUAGCAUAAAUAGGAGAACGAUUACAUGCAAACUCAGCCUGUGCAAGUUUGAUGUCCAACUAUUUUUGAGUUUUGCUAACCAACCCCCUCAAUAAAC
rnacentral:lncRNA from 1 species